rnacentral:lncRNA from 10 species
GAGAAAUCUCUCCCAGGCACAGGUGAUACCUAAGAAAGCCAUGCUCUGGACACUUGAGAUCCUAGAAACUCUGCCAAGACUGCCCUCAGCCUGUAUCUGGACUUUGUGUGUCUCUUCCUGGGUCUAUUGCUGGAGGGUGACCAUCCCAUUAGAAGAAGACAGAUGCAGCAGAGAGGCCACUAACUGUCCAUGUCACAGGAUACUCCUCCUACACCCCCCUCCCUCCCUGAAGUGGUCUGUUCUCUACAAUCAUCUCAUCAUCCCCAUGUUUUAACUUGUUUUCAUAAUUUUUCAGAACCCUAAUCUCAAUCACAUAUGAGUAUUAGUAGAUUUCAUUAUUUAAAUGAUUUAAAAUAAGAUUUAAACAUUUGGAUUUGGGAAUCUCUUUUCACUUGUUCUUUUCUUGGUCCAUAAGAAGAGCCAGAACCACAGCAUGCCUCUCUAUUUCAGAGCUACAUUAAGGUUGUUAAUUUAGUAGAUCAGAGAAAUCCACUCGAUAAAAAUGUUUUUAAGAUUUCAUCGUAGCACUUGAUGAGCUCUCUUGUCAACAAGUUCUGGAAAUAUUUACUGGAUGAUAAUACAAUCAACCCUUUACUUCCUCCUCUUCAAAUAAGCCAUACAGAAUAAAGGAAAAAUCUACAGAAUAUUGGCAAUUGGGAUGACCGUUGGCCUCUACCUUGCCUAGAGAGGAAAGAAAGGCCCAAGGACCUUGAGAUUUCAUGUGCAGCAGCAUCUGAUGGGCCGGUUACCUUCUUUGCCCUGCACAUUUUCUCUAUUCCUCUCCCCACAGCUCUCUGCCCUGAGAGGUUGACCUGGAUGAGCUGCACCCACAAGCUCAUUUGUCCUCAGGUUUCCAGUUGAGUUCCACCAAUGGGAGGCACCAUCAGGAGAUGCAGACUUCAAGAAGAGUGAAGCUGGGAUGUUUACUUCCCCAACUCGCUCUACCGAGCUGCGUGUGAGCUGGCUGGGUACUUCGGUGAAGUUUGCAGCUCCCAUCGGCGCCCUUUUCUACAUCAGCCUCCGUAGCUGCCCAACUUUCUUUUGCCAUUGCAGCCAGUUGAGUGGCAAAACUGGCCCCCUCAAUAUUUUACUGUUCCUUGUUGGCUUCAUUUUAGCCUGUCCACACUUUUGUCAAUUACCUUUUCUUUAAACUCUCAAUCACCUAUUUGAACAUGCCACCGGGGAUGCUGCUUUGAUCCUGCCUGACAACCUUGGUUUCUAGUUUAAUAUUUUCUCCUCUCCCCUCCGCCCCACACUAUGCUGGGUUGAAGCAUAAAGGAAAUAAAAGAUUGCCUUCAUGGAAAUGGGUCUUAUUUCUUUAUUUAAAAAUUAUAUUUUAUUGGAGAUAUUUGAUAGUUAAGAAC